CCUACGGGAUGCUGCAGUGGGGAAUAUUGGACAAUGGGCGAAAGCCUGAUCCAGCCAUGCCGCGUGUGUGAAGAAGGCCUUCGGGUUGUAAAGCACUUUCAGUGGGGAAGAAAGCCUUGGGGCUAAUACCCUCGAGGAAGGACAUCACCCACAGAAGAAGCACCGGCUAACUCCGUGCCAGCAGCCGCGGUAAUACGGAGGGUGCGAGCGUUAAUCGGAAUUACUGGGCGUAAAGCGCGCGUAGGCGGUCUGAUAAGCCGGUUGUGAAAGCCCCGGGCUCAACCUGGGAACGGCAUCCGGAACUGUCAGGCUAGAGUGCAGGAGAGGAAGGUAGAAUUCCCGGUGUAGCGGUGAAAUGCGUAGAGAUCGGGAGGAAUACCAGUGGCGAAGGCGGCCUUCUGGACUGACACUGACGCUGAGGUGCGAAAGCGUGGGUAGCAAACAGGAUUAGAUACCAGUAGUC
rnacentral:rRNA from 1 species